rnacentral:rRNA from 1 species
GGCUCAGAACGAACGCUGGCGGCAGGCCUAAGUCAUGCAAGUUGAACGGCUGUAGCAAUACAGCAGUAGCGGACGGGUGAGUAAUGUAUGGGAACGUAUCUUCUAAGUGGGGAAUAUACUUUGGAAACGAAGAGCAAUACCGCAUAAGUCCUACGGGAGAAAGUCGCAAGACGCUAGAUGAGCGGCCCAUAUUGGAUUAGCUAGUUGGUUAGGUAAUGGCUGACCAAGGCAACGAUCCAUAGCUGGUCUAAGAGGACGAUCAGCCACAUUGGGACUGAGACACGGCCCAGACUCCUACGGGAGGCAGCAGUCAGGAAUAUUGGACAAUGGGGGCAACCCUGAUCCAAGCCAUGCCGCGUGAGUGUUAAGGUCUUCGGAUUGUAAAGCUCCUUUGUGUGGGAAAAUGAUGAUGGUACCACAAGAAUAAGCACCGGCUAACUUCGUGCCAGCCGCCGC